AUUGAACGCUGGCGGCAGGCUUAACACAUGCAAGUCGAGCGGGGGAGGUUGCUUCGGUAACUGACCUAGCGGCGGACGGGUGAGUAAUGCUUAGGAAUCUGCCUAUUAGUGGGGGACAACAUUCCGAAAGGGAUGCUAAUACCGCAUACGCCCUACGGGGGAAAGCAGGGGAUCUUCGGACCUUGCGCUAAUAGAUGAGCGUAAGUCGGAUUAGCUAGUUGGUGGGGUAAAGGCCUACCAAGGCGACGAUCUGUAGCGGGUCUGAGAGGAUGAUCCGCCACACUGGGACUGAGACACGGCCCAGACUCCUACGGGAGGCAGCAGUGGGGAAUAUUGGACAAUGGGCGGAAGCCUGAUCCAGCCAUGCCGCGUGUGUGAAGAAGGCCUUUUGGUUGUAAAGCACUUUAAGCGAGGAGGAGGCUCUUAAGGUUAAUACCCUUGAUGAGUGGACGUUACUCGCAGAAUAAGCACCGGCUAACUCUGUGCCAGCAGCCGCUGUAA
rnacentral:rRNA from 1 species